rnacentral:tRNA from 1 species
GUUUUAAUAGUUUAAAGAAAACAUUAGUCUUGUAAACUAAAAAUAAAAAAUAUUUUUUUAAAAC